rnacentral:rRNA from 1 species
GACGAACGCUGGCGGCGUGCUUAACACAUGCAAGUCGAACGGUGAGAGCGGAGCUUGCUCCGCUGGAUCAGUGGCGAACGGGUGAGUAACACGUGGGCAACCUGCCCCUCACUUCGGGAUAACUCCGGGAAACCGGGGCUAAUACCGGAUAUGACCUCCUUGGGCAUCCUUGGAGGUGGAAAGUUUUUCGGUGAGGGAUGGGCCCGCGGCCUAUCAGCUUGUUGGUGAGGUAGUGGCUCACCAAGGCGACGACGGGUAGCCGGCCUGAGAGGGCGACCGGCCACACUGGGACUGAGACACGGCCCAGACUCCUACGGGAGGCAGCAGUGGGGAAUAUUGCGCAAUGGGCGAAAGCCUGACGCAGCAACGCCGCGUGCGGGAUGACGGCCUUCGGGUUGUAAACCGCUUUCAGCAGGGAAGAAGCCGCAAGGUGACGGUACCUGCAGAAGAAGCACCGGCUAACUACGUGCCAGCCGCCGCGGUAA